UGUGGACUGAGGGGCUUGUGACUCAGUCCUUUUAAUUUUCUGCAGCUAGAACAGUCCAGGUUGUGACCUUGUCAGAUAUCUCAAGUUAAUGAUGGACGGCACUUGUCACUGCUUGGAUGAGAAGCCACUAAAUAAACUCUAAGGCCCCACUCCGGCACUGAAGUCUAUGCAGCAGUCUUGUUCCAGUGAAUGUCACUCAGCCAUUGACCAGUGGCAUAACAGCAUACUGUGGCCAAACUCCACAUCGUGACUCAUCUUCCUUCUCUCUUCAUGCAGCAUUCUUCACUGUUGGCCCCAAGUUGCUGUGCGUAUUUGCAGUAAAUGUUAAACAGCUGCCAGGUACUGUGUCACAGGAGAAUCUGAAUUCACUGAUGGAUGAAAUAAUUUUUGUGUUUUAGGAGCCCUGUGGAUGAGAGGGAUUAUGUAAAUUAUUGAGCAUUAUUUUAAAUAAUGCUUAGAAUAUUCUGUGUUAGCCAUUGCUUAUUAUGUUAGUAAGCCCCAAUACACCUAGCUGAAAGGGAACCCGCUGGUAUAGACUCAUUCUGCUUUUUCUUUGAAGUCACCUGAACAGUUUUUCCCCUUGAGGGUACUGAUCAGUGUUGCCAGAUGUAUAAUAAUCAUCAUAUUAGUACGGUACAUUUGUCCCUUGUAACUAUGCACAGUAGAUAAUUACAAAAGUGGCCAAAAGGUACAAUAAUGCAGGAGGCUCCAAAGUGUGCUUGUGUCUGAAAGAAAAUAUUCACAUUCAAUCACUUUUAUAUCUUCAGAUGAUCUUAAACUGUCUUUGUGCCGUCCUUCAUGUGCAGUGACUCGCUCAGAGGCAGGUGCCACAUGUGACUGUGUUUCUAAAGGCUAGCGUGUAGCAGCAGAGGACAGAAACUAUGGGGUGGAAUCUGACUGACAUAUUUACACUCUAAGAGGUACUUAUGCAGACUUGAAGCACUUGGGGAGAAAUUUUCCAUGCCAGAGAUUAUGGGUCCCAGCAAGAAGAGCGCCAAGACCAGGCAAACACAUUCUGCACCAGGUUCUGUGGGGACAAUCACCUACCGCAGCACUGCAAAUUGAGCCCUCGGUCCCAUGCAGGCUGAAGCAUGUGUGAGUUGAUGCACAUACAUAGUCCCAGAGAUGUCAACAAGCUUAGUGUUAAACACAUGCGUGUUUGGAGGAUUCAGGCCUAAGUGUCACCCACAGGUUCUCAGAGAGAUGCCAAUCAACCCCUCAGCUGGCCAAGCAUGACUGCUCUGGCAUUUGUUUCAAGGACCUUUGAUGUUUCACACUAUAAAGGCAAACUGUUUUCUCUACUGUUGGCUGGUUUAAUAUCCUGAAGUUGCUGUUUACAAAAAAGCAAAUGUUUCACUGUUAGCUAAUCCAGCUUGUUUGUGAAAGCCCUUAAGGCUCAUUUUAAUUGCAAGCAAAUGAUUCUUAACGAUAUAAAUCAGACCCAGCAGAGGCUGAGAGCAUUUCUGAUAUUUUGCACUGUAACCAGGAGUUAAGAAAUGAAUUAGUCUCAAAUUGAAAAGGGGAAGGUUUCAAUCUGAAAUUGGGCAAAUAUGAGGCAUCAUCAAGUAAAGAUAAUCACUUUGCAGGAUAAUAAUGAGGCUCCAGCUUAUCGGUUUUGCAUGGAGAAUCCUUAAUAUGCCUGUAGGAGAUUUUGCUGCCUUGAAUUUUACAAGAGACAACUAAAUAAGAAAGUUAAUGAAGAAAACAGAUUGGCCAGACUGAAUUGCCUCCCCAGUACAGCUGCUGACAGUGACCAAAGAGGUGUUUCUGCAGGCCUGUCUGCUAUGGAUGGAUUUGUCUGGCUUAUGUAUUCCUGAAAUCAAAAUGUGUCAUACACAGUAAAAUUCACUCCUCAGCAAAAAACAGCACAAUGCCUAUAGUAAACCAAUUAAGACCUCAAAAUAAGGUCAAUGGGUGCACUGCCCUUGCGCUGGCUCUCAUGCAUGUAGGUGGAUUUGGUUGCUCUGAAUCUUUAUUUUCUCUCCUGUUCAUCUUUUCACAAUACAUUAUGGGUUGGGUUAAACUCCAUUGAAGUUAGUCAGUACAAUAGUUUCCCCUCUGUUCACUCAACAAGGGAACAGUCAUCAACACCUUUGUUUUAUAAUACCUGAAACCAGGAGCGUCCAAUUCAGUUAGCUCUGUGGGCUGGAUCUGGAUCUUGGGGCCAUUCACAGCCUGGCUGACCCACCUCUGCAAGCAGGGCAGCAACGUGUCCGCGUGGCUGCUGGAGCCACUGUGUCAGUGCAGCUCCAGAUCCCCAGGGGUGAAUAGUCCUGUUACUUGCCCCCCCUCCCCCCCCCCCCGGCCGCUUUUUUCCUACCGCUGAUUUUAGUUGCAAGUGACCUCUGUUUCAGCAAAUGGUGGCAUUCAUCCCUUAGGUUCCAAAGCUGCACCAAUAAGUCAUGCAGGCCACAGUUUAAGCACUUGCCCCAUGGACCACUAGUUGGACAGUUCUGACUUAAACAAUAAUGGCCUCCAGCCAAAACACUGCCCCAAAUGGCAAGAGGAAGCAGAGGGAUGUGAUUCAUACCAUGAGUAUUCCUGGGGACUGACAGAGCACUGACUGGAGGAAGUGUGUGAGAGAGGGAAAGGGGCAGGAGCAGAAUCUAAGGAUAGAGUCAGAACAACCCCUAGGGAGCUGGCCCUGAGAAAAGCUAGGGGCAUGAGACCUUCUGGGCUAAGUGCUGACUGGUGCUCAAAAUCAUGAACAAAGACACCGUCUCCUGUUUGAUUCCUGAGGUAUCCAGGGAAAUGACACUUUGUACUGUACUAUUCUUCAUCAACAAACAAAUAAAGGUGACAUCAGCCACCCAGUUCCAUCCUCUCUGUUUCCUCCUAAAAUAAAACGCUAAGAUCUGAAUACUCA